rnacentral:misc_RNA from 1 species
GAAUUCACUCUUUAUUACAAGAAAGAAGGCCUUCCAUUCCUUAUAAACACAUCAACAAUUCAGUGGGAUAUUUUUUCCAUUAUGAAAAAAGGGAGGGCCGACACUUUUAUUUUCUUAUUGUUGUAAUUUACAUGGUGAUUCUUUAUGUUGGUCUCAUUUAUUGAGAUUCAUAGGAAAUUAGGUAACAUAACAAUACUUCGAGUGAAUAGUUAUUAUAAAAGGUUAUUCUUCCUAGAAGUGCUGAACUU